UCUUUGGUCCAACUGCCCGAAAAACUAUUGUCAAGAAAAUGCCCAGUGACCUCCAAACUCCUGACCUUUCAAUUACCUCAGUGGAUGGACCGAGAGAAAGCAAAAGGCAUCCCAGUGUCUCCUCACUAUGGAGUGGAAGGAGCAAGAGGUUUAUAAUAGCAUCUUGUUAUAUUGAAGUCACAAGCUACCAGCAUCUUCUUAUAUUGAAGUCACAGGCAGGAUUUAAAUUCAUCUUAUAUGUAAGUAUGGUAUCCCAGUGUGUCAGUGAAGAGACAGAUGUUACUGAGAUCACCUUGCCCAGGGACGCAUCUCCUAAUAUCUGCAAGGAUGUCCUGUAUACCAAAAGUAUAGCUUCAUUCCUUCUAAUCCCAAAGACUCUCAAAUAAAGCAAAUCUGCGGGAGGACAAAGAUGAUGGUGAUCUAACUUCCUGUGCCAGCAUCAUCAUUUUACAAUAAGAUUUGACUUUGGUUAAAGUUUGAAAUUCUCCUCUGAGGAAACACAUUUCAGGAUGUUAUCUUUCAUGCAUACCUUAUCAUGAAGAAAGGAUCCAACUAUUCAUAAUCUAGAUUUCCACUGAUUUCUUUAACCACAGUUUGAUAACAACCACCAGUGAGGUAGUCAGGUCCAGGUCUUAUGGAACUUUAUUCUGUUCAUUGGGAAUGUGGGUUUUAUUGAUGAGGGAGUGAUAAACUAUUGGAGAAUUCUCAAUUGUGGCGUCAUGUCUUCUGAGUUAUACUUUUACAGGAAUGAUUCUGGUUGCUCUGAAGGAACAGAUAGAUGUGGGGAGACAAGAAUAAAAGCAAGGAGGCUUGUAACUGGCUGUUUUCAUACUAGAGGAACUUCAGGACUGAAUCCUGCAGUAGAAGCAAGAACAGGCUAUUGGGAGACUCUGGUCCUCAACUGCACAAAGAAGGGCCCAUAUCCUCAACUCUGCCACAGACCUCUUUGAUUCCAGUUGGAAGCCUGGAGAUUUCACUGCUGCUGAGGAGGGUUCCAGGGACUGGGAAACCUGAGCUGUGAGCUGAGCUUGGGUGAUCUGUUUCCAUCUGUGGUCUGGUGCUGAUGGUUUCCAAGGCAGGAAUCAAGUCAGUCCUUGAAGAGCUACAACAGAGCAAAAGUGCAGGUAAACAAAGCAACACGAAGGCUAAAUAAAAGUCAUUUCCCCAAGCAAAAUAAGGGUAGGGACCUUCAGAUGGACAGAUUAGCCUGGAUUAAGCAGAUGGAGAAGCCGAGGAUCAAGGAUCGGGCCAGGAGCCAAGGAAUACUGCCACCUCUAGAAGUUGGGAACGGCCCUCAGCUUACAGCCACUAAGAAAAGGGGGAUUUUGGCCCUCUAGCUGCAAGGAAUCUAAUUCCACUUGAAUUAACAAGGAACAUCCAGGCAGGAAUGUAGCCCUGACAACACCCUAAUUUAGGCCAGUCAGGCCCGGACAGACUUCUGACCCACGGAAUUCUAAAAUAAUUUGUGUUUCUUAAACCAUCAAAUUUGUUGUAAUUUGUUAUGGUAGCAACAGGAAUCAAAUAUACCUCUCU
rnacentral:lncRNA from 1 species